rnacentral:rRNA from 1 species
UAAUACCAGCACCCCGAGUGGUCGGGACGAUUAUUGGGCCUAAAGCAUCCGUAGCCGGUUCUGCAAGUCUUCCGUUAAAUCCACCUGCUCAACAGAUGGGCUGCGGAGGAUACUACAGGGCUAGGAGGCGGGAGAGGCAAGCGGUACUCAGUGGGUAGGGGUAAAAUCCUCUGAUCCACUGAAGACCACCAGUGGCGAAGGCGGCUUGCCAGAACGCGCUCGACGGUGAGGGAUGAAAGCUGGGGAGCAAACCGGAUUAGAUACCCGGGUAGUCCCAGCUGUAAACGAUGCAGACUCGGUGAUGGGUUGGCUUCGAGCCAACCCAGUGCCGCAGGGAAGCCGUUAAGUCUGCCGCCUGGGGAGUACGGUCGC